GGGGGCUCGGGGCUCGCUGCGGGCCUCGGGGGCGGCAGGGGGCUCAGGCGGGUUGGUUGUGCCGUGUCCGGCCCGUGUUGCCCCGGGGCAGGGCGCUGCGGGAGCGGCUGCCCGCGGCCUCCUUCCCGCCGCUGCCUCGGCAGGAGCCGCUGCCGGAGCGGCGCUGGCUCGGCCCGGUUCCUGUGGCUGGGACAGAGGGGGCUGCCCCGCCGCCGCGGCUGUGCGGGGAAUUCACGUCGGCGGAGGUUUCUGUGCCCGGAGGAGGCAGAGGAGUCCUGUAAAAGUGACUUUAUUGCUGAGCAGAGGGAGAGGGCAUGGGGCAUUUGCCGUGCGGUCUCUGCCAUUGUUGGAGUUCGCAGCCUACUUUUUAUUCUCAUUUUCCCGGCCUUAUUUCCCCCUCCCUGUGCCCACUGGCUGAGGUGCUUGGAAGGUUCAGACUUCCCGAUCCGCCUGCUGUAUGUCCUCGUUAAUGUGCACCCCCACUUUUGUUUAACAUCCGAUAUUCACGGGCUCUGUUAAGUCCUUGUUCUUCUCGAAGUUCAGGAAUCUAGCGGGACUUUGAGCAGGUGUCCGUGUAAAUUUGUAACAUUUUCUGGAACUAAUGGUUUCUCCCGUUACUUCCUUAUCUACAAGUCCCUGGCCCUAUCUCCAAACAGAUUCACUAAUUGACUCUGUUUUUUCUUCCUGGGUCCUCUUUGAUUUUGGGAUUAUUCUCAGUGCCCUCCUUCCCUGUCCUUCUGUAGCCGUUUCUGGAUCAGGAGGCCUGGCUGCCACCUGCAUCCCCUGGCUCACCUGCUGAAUGAGCUGCACUCUCAAGCACGGAGAGAGAGUUUGCACCCUGUGACUGCAGCAGCUGCCUCAGCGCUGGAGGGACUGAUAACAGAGCAAACCCCCAGGAGAGACUUUCUGAAUUUGUCAUCUUUUUCAGAGCAGUGGAAGAGUGGUGUCACCCGGUUUUGUUCAUUGUGUGUGCUGGGGGGUGCUGUGCCUGUUAAAUAAACAGGUUCUUUCCACCUCUCUCUGAGGAAUUCUUCCCAAACCGGUUGGGGGGAGGGGCUGUGUGGGUUUGUUUUAUGGAGAAGCCCUUUUUGGGGAUUCUCUCCCAAAUGUGCCCUAAACCAGGACACCUUUCCCUAUUAUUGUUGAUUUUAGCUUCCACUCUCCUUCCCUGCUUUUGGGUACUACCAUACUUUUUCUUGAUGUAAUCCAUUUUAAAAUGUCUAGGGGACCUAAACUGAUACCAUCCCAUGGCCAAAUUUCACUUAAGUGUGUCCCCCCCCACACCCAACAAUCAGUCAGAUUAAAUUCUUUCAUAAUCUUUUCCACCAUAUUGAUAAAAAGAUUCUUUCCAUAUAUUUGUCCCUCUCUAUCCGUUUGCCUUUUCACUGGCAAGGAGAAAGAAGUUGCACUUCUUUCUCUUUGAAUGUAUCCUCUAAGUUGGUUUCACUUUCUUGUUCAAAACUUACCCAUCUUUCUUUCACAGGGCACUCUCAUGACAUCUCCUAGCUGGGGUUUGCAAUAGUUUUAGCCAGCUGUGAAAAAUGCAUAUUUUAUGAUUGGCUUUUUGCAAAUAUUAAAAUGAAUAUUAUGUGUUAUGUUAGGAAGUUAUGCAGUAUUAAUUUUCUUCAGUAGUGUGUUAAAUAUAGUUCUAGGUUAAAACAUAAUGUUAAAAUAGAAACGAUGUGUGUGGGCUAUUUUUUUAAAGAAAGGAACGAGGUAUUUCCACCGAGAUAGCAGCCACAGGACACCUAAAUCUUUCAGAGACAGAGAAUUUAUUGCUCCAUUAUCACAAGAAACAAUCUUCUUCCUGUCUUGCUCCACUCUGAAGAUGCCAUCAGGAUUCAGAGGAAGCAGCUGACACUGACCAGACAGAAUCCUGUGUUUGAAUGGAAUUUAUGCAUCAUGUAUGAAAUCUAUGAAUAUGCAACAGGCUUUUGUUUUUUGCAAGUAAUCCUCUGUUAACGUGUGUCCUUUUUUUGGCUUAUUUUGCCCAGAAAGAGGUCCCUGGACCUUACAUAACUCUUUGUUCUUAUUGUCUUGUAUUGUCCUAAAACCUAAUUGUCAAAGUAUUUAUUGCUCUAAAUAUAUUACUAUUUUUAUAACCAUUUUAUGAUUAUUAAACUUUUAAAUUUUUAAAAACAA